rnacentral:ncRNA from 1 species
GCGAGGACGACCUCGCUUCCCCGAAGAACCGGCCGGGACGACCCGC